CAUGAAGCUGGAAUCGCUAGUAAUCGCGGAUCAGAAUGCCGCGGUGAAUACGUUCCCGGGUCUUGUACACACCGCCCGUCACACCAUGGGAGUCGGAAAUGCCCGAAGUCUGUGACCCAACCUACGGGAGGGAGCAGCCGAAGGCAGGUCGGAUGACUGGGGUGAAGUCGUAACAAGGUAGC
rnacentral:rRNA from 1 species